rnacentral:rRNA from 1 species
UCCGUAGGGUGCGAGCGUUAAUCGGAAUUACUGGGCGUAAAGCGUGCGCAGGCGGUUUUGUAAGCCAGAUGUGAAAUCCCCGGGCUUAACCUGGGAAUGGCAUUUGGGACUGCAAGGCUGGAGUUUGGCAGAGGAGACUGGAAUUCCUGGUGUAGCAGUGAAAUGCGUAGAUAUCAGGAGGAAUACCGAUGGCGAAGGCAGGUCUCUGGGCUAUAACUGACGCUCAUGCACGAAAGCGUGGGGAGCAAACAGG